ensembl:processed_transcript Gm10030 predicted gene 10030
AAUCUUCCGUGUCCGAUGAGUGAUGUUCUGAGGUAAAUAACCACUCAUAAGCUUGGGUUGUGAAAUUCUCAGAGGCAAGCUCAUCACCAGAUGUGGCCCACAGAGAGAAGAGCCCCAGCCUGGCUCUGAGUCCACAUGCAAGGAAGGGCGACCAUGCCCAGAAGAGGAGACGAAUCUCCAUUGUGACGUUGCUAGAAGAUGCUUGGUGGGACAAUGUAGAAGGUUUCCUCCCUGGUUUCAGAGCAGGCUGCUGCAGGUAGGAGGCAGACAUGCCCUCAUUGCUCUACUUACACAUGUCAUCCCUUAUGCCUCUUCUGUUGCUGUGGUGAGAGUAUAACCUCAUCCAUCACCUAUGGUGGAAAGUUUAUGCUUUCUUGUGUGCUGCCCUUGAAGGCAGGGACUGAGUCUGACUCACGGCAGUGACAGGUAUGUCAGAAACCUGCCUUACUUAUCAUCUAAUGCAAGUGUGUGUUCAUGUGUGUGCAGGUGCAUGUGUGUACAUGUGCACAUGGAGGGUAGAGAUCAGCCUCAAGUGUCGUUUCCCAGUCCAAUUUGUCGUUUCCCAGUUUUGGAGACAGCAUCUUUAUCUUUCACUGGCCUGGAGCUUGCCUGGUAGACUAGGCUGGCCAACCAGUGAGCCUUCCUGUCUCAUCUCCCCAGUGCUGGGACUACGAACACGCCACCAUGCCCAGACUUAUUUCUUUCCAUAUGGAGUUGGAGAUCAAACUCAGGCCUCCACACUUUUGAGGUAAGCAUUUGAGUAACUGAGCCGGCUCAUCAGACUAGGAUGUACUUUAUUGAAGGGUACCCUUGGUGCAAGUCAGGAAGUCCAAAGAAAGCAGC